rnacentral:rRNA from 1 species
CAAAAACAUCGCCUCUUGAGACACUUAGACAUAAGAGGUCCCGCCUGCCCAGUGACUAUAAGUUUAACGGCCGCGGUAUUUUGACCGUGCAAAGGUAGCGCAAUCACUUGUCUUUUAAAUGAAGACCUGUAUGAAUGGCACCACGAGGGCUUAACUGUCUCCUUUUUCCUGUCAAUGAAAUUGAUCUCCCCGUGCAGAAGCGGGGAUUUUAACAUAAGACGAGAAGACCCUAUGGAGCUUCAGGCUCCAGAACAGACUAUGUUAAUACACCCUACCACAAAGGACAAAACUUAUUAGGCCCUGUUCCAAUGCCUUUGGUUGGGGCGACCGCGGGGAAACAAAAACCCCCCAUGUGGACCGGGAGCACAACCCCUCCCACAACCCAGAGCAACAACUCUAAGUAACAGAACAUCUGACCAGCAAAUGAUCCGGCACAGCCGAUCAACGGACCGAGUUACCCUAGGGAUAACAGCGCAAUCCCCUUCUAGAGCCCAUAUCGACAAGGGGGUUUACGACCUCGAUGUUGGAUCAGGACAUCCUAUUGGUGCAGCCGCUAUUAAGGGUUCGUUUGUUCAACGAUUAAAGUCCUACGUGAUCUGAGUU